UAAUACAUCGGAACGUGUCUUCUAGUGGGGGAUAACUGCCCGAAAGGGCAGCUAAUACCGCAUGAGACCUGAGGGUGAAAGCGGGGGAUCGCAAGACCUCGCGCUGGAAGAGCGGCCGAUGUCCGAUUAGCUAGUUGGUGAGGUAAAGGCUCACCAAGGCGACGAUCGGCAGCUGGUCUGAGAGGACGACCAGCCACACUGGGACUGAGACACGGCCCAG
rnacentral:rRNA from 1 species